AGGACAGCUAACAGACAGGCAGAUGGGCCUGGGGUUGGAGGAUGUGUCCCCUCGCCCGGAUCGAGUAGUUUUCGCUUGGCAUUUAUGGGCAUUUUAUAUUCAUUUUUAGUGUGCUCCAAAAUAGUUUUCAUAAAUAGUUUAAAUGGGUGUGAGUAGAACCCAAUACAAUAUGUUGGACUCGCAGAUAGACAGGUUCCUGUCAUAAACAAAGGACAGUCGUUGCUUGUUUGGCCAAAAGUCAACAACAAAACGCGUCGACGGCGCAGCUCAAACUCAAGCUCAAGCACAUUUAUUGUUAUUCAUUAAUUUUAAUAUUUGCACAACCUGCGUGCAAUUUUGGAGCGGAAUUGAAUUGAAUUUCGAGUGGCCAGCGCCGAGAAAGGGAGAGAGGAGAGAGCGGCAGCUAAACAGCUACUAAAAUGCUACGUCUGGGCCGCACGAUAAAGCCAGAAGCCAAUGAAGCUAAGUGCGGUUAUGAACCCUUUUCGCAUUUGACUGAAACAACAAAAGGGCCAACAAUGGGUGGCAAAUGGAAUUGGAGUUGCACAAGGCGAUGGAAACGGCGCUGAAGCUGGUUGGCAUUUACCUAAUGGAGGUGGCAAGCUUUAAGAAUUUAAGCGGUAGUUCAAUAAACCCGCAUGCCAAACAAUGGCCAUGGCCAGGACUAUGCAAUUGUUCAAUUGAUGCGCGACAAACAUGCAAAGUGCUUAAACAACAAAGGAACUACAAUGUGC